AAAAACAUGUCCUUUAGAAUUUAAUUUAAGGUCUGACCUGCCCACUGAUUUAAAUGGCCGCAGUAUUUUAACUGUGCAAAGGUAGCAUAAUCAUUAGUCUUUUAAUUGAAGGCUUGUAUGAAUGGUUGGACGAAAUAUUAACUGUUUCAUAAAAUUUAUAGAAUUUUAUUUUUUAGUCAAAAAGCUAAAAUAUUUUUAAAAGACGAGAAGACCCUAUAGAUCUUUAUAAUUUUUAUAUUAUAGUUAUUUAGAUAAAUUAAAUUAUAAUUAUAUAAAUUAUUUUGUUGGGGUGACAUUAAAAUUUAAUUAACUUUUAAUAUAUUUUUACAUUGAUUUAUGAAUGAUUGAUCCAUUAUUAAUGAUUAUAAAAUUAAGUUACCUUAGGGAUAACAGCGUAAUUUUUUUAGAGAGUUCAUAUCGAUAAAAAAGAUUGCGACCUCGAUGUUGGAUUAAGAUAUAAUUUUGGGUGCAGCAAUUCAAUAAUUAAGUCUGUUCGACUUUUAAUUUCUUACAUGA
rnacentral:rRNA from 1 species